UGAAAGGCGAAACGUAAUGUGAAUCGCAACUAACAGUGAAUCAUCGAAUCUUUGAACGCAUACCGCACUCCCUGGUAUCAUGUUUCUGCAUGAUACUAGAGAGUAUCUACGUAUGAGUGUCAGCCAAAUAUCUUUUUGGUUUAUGAAGGAAGUAAAGCUCCUCUUUAUCCUUUGGAUUUAGAAAAUUUAUUUUAACUCAUAAAUACACAUGUCUUUGUGACAUAUCACUUGAAACAAAGCAUUGUCUGGCCUCAUAUGUGGAAGAUUACCCGCUGGAUUUAA
rnacentral:misc_RNA from 1 species